UCAAAAAUCUUCCGAAGAUGUAUGUAUUC
rnacentral:piRNA from 1 species